rnacentral:rRNA from 1 species
UACGAAAGGGGGGCUAGCGUUGCUCGGAAUCACUGGGCGUAAAGCGCACGAGGCGGGUCUUAAGUCAGGGGUGAAAUCCCGGAGCUCAACUCCGGAACUGCCUUUGAUACUGGAGAUCUUGAGUCCGGGAGAGGAGAGUGGAAUUCCUGGUGUAGCGGUGAAAUGCGCAGAUAUCAGGAAGAACACCCGUGGCGAAGGCGGCUCUCUGGAACGCAACUGACGCUGAGACGCGAAAAGCGUGGGGAGCAAACAGG